UACGUAGGGGGCAAGCGUUGUCCGGAAUCAUUGGGCGUAAAGAGCGUGUAGGCGGUCCUGUAAGUCCGCUGUGAAAGUCAAGGGCUCAACCCUUGAAUGCCGGUGGAUACUGCAGGACUAGAGUCCGGAAGAGGCGAGUGGAAUUCCUGGUGUAGCGGUGAAAUGCGCAGAUAUCAGGAGGAACACCGAUGGCGAAGGCAGCUCGCUGGGACGGUACUGACGCUGAGACGCGAAAGCGUGGGGAGCAAAC
rnacentral:rRNA from 1 species